UUCUUUCUCCAUCUCUACUCUCUCUCUUUCAUUCUAUCUCUCUCUGCUUUCGUCUCUCUCUCAGCCUCUGUCUCUUUCUGCUUCUCUCCCUCUCUCCCUCUCACGUCCAUUUCCCUUCCGUUCUCCAUCCAUCUCUACUCUCUCUCUUUCUCUCUCUCAUUCUAUCUCUCUCUCAUUCUAUCGCUCUCUGCUUUUCUCUCUCUCUGCUUUCGUCUCUCUCUCAGCCUUUGUCUCUUUCUACUUUCCCUCUCUCCCUCUCUCUCUCUCUCUCUCUCUCUCACGUCCAUUUCCCCUCCAUUCUUCAUCCAUCUCUACUCUCUCCUUCUCUCCCUCACCGUCUCUCCCAGUCUCUCGUUCUCCUUCCUCUCCAGCCUCAUCUCGCAAGCAAACGCACAUCUCUACAUCCUACAUCCUGCCUAGCCCUACUUUCGGUUCGUCCUUCUCUACCCUGCCCUGCUUAAAACCUGCUCUACCCAGCCCUGCUUAAACAGAUUUCCUUUAAUAAGCAGACGAUACUUGAACUACCUACCAGUCGACACGCGUUGUAUUUUCGCUAUUCUUCGACUAAUUCGUUCUGUCUGCCAGGAACCACGGAGCGACAAAGAGCAGUCCAGUGUUUUGUUUCCAGAUAUCGUCACAAUUGUUGACAGACCCUUCGCUCUACCCCUCACAUGCACACAUGAAUGCUCUUCCUCUGGGGACCUUCUCUUCCACCACAUUGCAUUCCUGAACCCAUCUUCAAAGACUUAAAAACAAAAGGUUGUACUGGAGUUGAUUUGUUCAACUAAACCCUACAAGAUGGUGUCUCAGGAUGGCCACAGUCCAACGACUGAAACAAGAAGAUAAAAAAUAAAAGAUAUAAUUAUAAUAAUAAUAAUAAUAAUAAUAAUAAUAACAGCAACAACAACAACAAUAAUAAUAAUAAUAAUAAUAUUCUUUUCAUACAGUCUAAUCUGUUGAGUGUAUAUGAAUAAUAACAACAAUAAUAAUAAUGAUAUUUUUUUCCAGCAGUCUAAUCUGUUGAGUGUAUAUGAAUAAUAACAACAACAACAACAACAACAACAAUAAUAUUUUUUUCCAACAGUCUAAUCUGUUGAGUGCAUAUGAAUAAUAAUAAUAAUAAUAGUAAUAAUAGUAAUAAUAAUAAUAAUAUUCUUUGCCAUAAUCUGUUGAGUGUAGAUGAAUAAAUAAUAAUAAUACCAACUGGAAUAGAGUGCCCAGUAGAACUGUUACCAAAAGGUUGGCUUCCUUGGCACGGCCAGAAUAAUCAGGAAAGUAUUAGAUAGUUGAAAAGAACAGAUAGUAUGGUACCAUUGGCUGCAGGCAGCAAGCCCACUUCGCAUGCAAGACUCCAGAAGUUACAACAGAACCUGAGAUAAAAAAAAAUAAAUAAUAAAAAUAAAUAAUAAAAACCACAAUGAUAAUAAUAAUGAUGAUUUCGUGUAUUGGCCAGAAGGGUCAAAGAUAUUGAUGGCUACAUCGAAAGACAAAAUACAACACAGAAAAGUCAGGGAUUUACACCAAACAAAAGGAAAAACGACAGAGAAAUAACAGCAAUAAUAAUAAUAAUAAUAAUAAUAAUAAUAAUAAUAAUUAAUGAAUUCGUUUUAUUGGCCACAAGGGCUAAUAUCAAUUAAAAACAUGUAAGGACAAAGACAGGACGAAGGUUACAAAAGGUUUUGUUCGAAAAGGUAGGAAAGUUCGUCUAAACAGAGGAAGAAAACGGAGAAAGAUAUAACAAAUAAAUAGAUAAAUAAAUAAAUAAAUAAAUAGAACUCCCAAAGGGGGUCCAAUAAUAAUAAUAAUAAUAAUUAUAAUCAUAAUAAUAAUAAUAAUAAUAAUCAUAAUAAUAAUAAUAAUAAUAAUAGCCUACAUGAACUCCUAACUUGUUGUCUGUUGAGGUCUCUGGGUGAGACUUGGAUCCAACUUGUACAAAUGCAAAACAAAAGUCAAACAUAAAAUAAUAAUAAUAAUAAUAAUAAUAACAAAAACGACAAUAGCAACAACAAAAAUAAUAAUAAUAAUAAUAGUAAUUGUAAUAAUAGCAUAAAGAACCAAUCAGAAAGGGGAAUCUGAACCCCUUGUUGGCCUCGGAUGCUGAGAGAGAGGCUGGUGAGGAUUGAACCUGAUAUAGCCAGAUGACUGGUGACAAACUGUGGAACCUGAAUUGCAUGAAAAUGACGGCAACCACCCCGUCCUUCGUUCUUCUUCAUCUUGUCCUCCUCUUCCUCCCCCUUCUCCUCCUCGCUAUACACCCAGGUGAGUCAGAUUUUUUUUUUGUUUUGUUCUGAUGAAAUGAAAUAAAAUAUAAAAUAAAUUUUUUUUUAAA